rnacentral:rRNA from 1 species
GACGAACGCUGGCGGCGUGCCUAAUACAUGCAAGUAGAACGCUGAAGAGAGGAGCUUACUCUUCUUGGAUGAGUUGCGAACGGGUGAGUAACGCGUAGGUAACCUGCCUUGUAGCGGGGGAUAACUAUUGGAAACGAUAGCUAAUACCGCAUAACAAUGGAUGACACAUGUCAUUUAUUUGAAAGGGGCAAUUGCUCCACUACAAGAUGGACCUGCGUUGUAUUAGCUAGUAGGUGAGGUAAUGGCUCACCUAGGCGACGAUACAGAGCCGACCUGAGAGGGUGAUCGGCCACACUGGGAAUGAGACACGGCCCAGACUCCUACGGGGGGCAGCAGUAGGGAAUCUUCGGCAAUGGGGGCAACCCUGAACGAGCAACGCCGCGUGAGUGGAGAAGGUUUUCGGGUCGUAAAGCUCUGUUGUAAGUCAAGAACGGGUGUGGGAGUGGAAAGUUCACACUGUGACGGUAGCUUACCAGAAAGGGACGGCUAACUACGUG